UAAAUACUGCUUUGGUUGGAUCUCACAAGUCUUGAUGUAGAACAUUUUUGUGAAUGCUCAGUUCUAAGUAUUUUCUAAUUUUAGCUGUGAUUUCAUUUUUGGACUACGAGUUGUUUAGAUGUACUGUUUUUCCUAAAGUACAAGCAUUGACUCCUUGUCUUUUGGUUAUUAACAUCUGACUUGUUUAGAUUGUGAUCGGGGAAUACAGUCUGUGUACACAUUGUGGUGGAAGCUAUGACUACUGCACAGCUUCCUCUUCUGGAACGAAGGAGUUAGUCUCCCAGCUUCUGGGAGAGCUGCUGGAGGAUGGCCCCAGCUGUCUGCUCUCCUAGGAAGUUAUGUGGGCUAAGGAGAUUGCCUUGCCCGAUCAAGACCAUGCUUCCUUCGAUGAACAGCCUGCAUGCAAUGGCUGCUCAGGGUGGGAGUGUAAAAGACUGGUUUGCUACCAACUCAAGACCCUUCUGAAGGACGACCCAGCUCCAGCACUCUCCACGGAGCUGGCAGAGGCCUCCGUGGCAUGGCAUGGCAGCACACCUCUUCCUCCGCGCACACCUGCCGCAUCCCAUCCAUUCCACAGGUGCCGAUCCCAGCAGUGUUCCCUAAUAAAAUCCCUGCACCCCAGUCUGCAUCUCAGAGCCUGGCUCCAGGAGAUCCAGCCUACCGCCCCAAUCUUUCACAUGCAUUGAGUCUCCUUGAAUCGGCCCAUUCUUUCAUUAUGUGGAACUAAUGAAGGCCUCGCAGAGUCCCCGCUCAGGAAUAGGGCCCUUAAAUAAAACAUGUUUCAUUGAUCAA